ensembl:lncRNA
GUUUAAAUGUUUUAAAGCCUAAAACAUGUUCACAAGCGGCAUAAAGACUCUGAAUGAUAUGGUACUUGGCUCUUGGUCUCAGACCCAAGAAGAGCACAGUACUGGUGUCUUGGGCCGGAUCGGGAGCUGGUUCUCCCCCUGGAAAGAAAGAGGGAGCCCCAGGAGUCCAAGUGACGAUGCCUCUCAGUCCCCGACGGAAGACCAGAGCCCCAGGCCAGAAGGAGAGGGGGCCCAGGAGGAGCCUGUGAGGGGAGAAGAGGAGCAGCAGAAGGAGGGACAGAAUUCCCAGCCUGCCCAGCGGCAUCUCUCCAGGGUUUUUGAGGAGUGGAACGCGGCGGACGCCAGAGCGUCUACCCACAGGGACAGCCCCCUCUCUGCAGCCAGCAGCCACAGCGAGUGGGGAGAAGGAGGAGGUCCUAGGGAGGAGGAGUGGUGGAUUGCCUCGCAGGGAGAGGAAACGGAGGAGGAGGGGGGAAGGAGCAGUGGAGCGAGCGGGAAUCCUGCCCCGAAGAGGAAUGCCAGCCAUCUGACACGUGUGCUUUCAUCUGCCCUUGAAGAGGGAGUGGCCUGGGAGGACUCUGACCGACAGGAACACACCCAGGCCCUGCCCCGAGCCCAAGUCCAGGCAGGCAAGAGGCUGCAUGUGUACCUGGAGGAGACGAGCCUGAGCCUGAGUCAGAACAGAACGGACACCCACACAAAGCAGGAAGUGCCCCACACCAUCAUCACCACCAGGGUGAAGAAAAGACUUCAGGUGGUUUCCAGAGCAAAAUCAUCCAAGAGUGUUGACUUGUCAUCAGAGAACACCAAUACAAAGGAGAGGACCGAGGAGCGCAAAAGGAUUUGUCUCAAAGCUGCUAUAGGGAUCAAAGGUCAUAGCAGUUACAGUGCCCUGGUGGGAGUGUCACUGAAGUCCCCUACAGAGACACAGACGAGCUCACAGACCAUCUCUGAGCUCUCUGGUGAAGAGGAGUCAGACAGAGACACAGACACGAUGGGCCGUAAGAACUCAGGCAGGAGGCGGUCCAGGAAGAACUCCUCCGGAGACGGAGGAGGAGCCAGUUCUCAGGAGAAUACGCCCACCAAACUCCAGCCUGGAACCGAGAACUCACCUACAUCAUCAGAAUAUAACACACCUAAACUUGGAGACUCCACCCCCUCCUCUUCUAAAGACAAACAUGCUUCAGUUCCAACAAAAACACACAGAGGGAAGGAGAGGGAGGAAGCCCAGGAGGACCUAGACGCACCAGUACACGCCACCCUGGUGGCCGUGGUGGACGGGGAAGGGGACAUGGACGUAGACGUGGUCGACGACACUAGCCCAUGCCGGGUGGAGAGGCGCACGGAGAGCGCAGAGUCCAAACGCCGGAGCAUGAAGGUGUCACACAGCGAGGUGAAGUUCUUUGCGAAGAAAGUGAUGGUGAACUCGGAGCAGCCACUGAGUCCAGAGGGAGACGGAGGACACGUUGCCGUGAGCUUUGAGAAAGGAGGGAUGGCUACAGGAAAGGUCACGGAGGGUCAUGAUACAGCAAAGGGAAAGGGCAAGGUGGAACCGAAGGUGACCAAGAGACCACCUGAUCUAAAGAAAGUGGACGAUGAAUUCAAGACUCCUCAGCCUAUUGGGCGAAUCGCAGAUAGGAUCA